rnacentral:rRNA from 1 species
GACGAACGCUGGCGGCGUGCUUAACACAUGCAAGUCGAACGGAGUGGCGAGCGGGUGAGUAACAAGUGGGUGACCUGCCCUGCACUUCGGGAUAAGCCUGGGACACUGGGUCUGAUACCGGAUAGUGUGGGAUGGGCCCGCGGCCUAUCGGCUUGUUGGUGGGGUAAUGUCCUACCAGGGAGGCGACGGGUAGCCGGCCUGGGUGGGUGGACGGCCACAUGGGGACUGAGACACGGACCAGAGUCCUACUGGAGGCAGCAGUGGGGAAUAUUGCACAAUGGGCGGAAGCGUGAUGCGGCGGCGCCGCGUGGGGGAUGACGGUCUUCGGGUUGUAAAAUCCUUUCACCAUCGACGCGGUAGAUGGAGAAGAAGCACCGGCUAACUACGUGCCAGCAGCCGCGGUAAUAC